GUGUCAGCCGCCGCGGUAAGACGAGGGGUCCAAGCGUUGUUCGGAAUCAUUGGGCGUAAAGCGGGUGUAGGUGGCUUCGUAAGUCAGGAGUGAAAUCCCCGAGCUUAACUCGGGAAGUGCUUUUGAAACUGCGGAGCUUGAAUGUGGGAGAGGAUCGUGGAAUUCCAGGUGUAGUGGUGAAAUACGUAGAUAUCUGGAGGAACACCGGUGGCGAAGGCGGCGAUCUGGCCCAACAUUGACACUGAGACCCGAAAGCGUGGGGAGCAAACAGGAUUAGAUACCCUAGUAGUCC
rnacentral:rRNA from 1 species